GCCUACGGCCAUGCCACCUUGAGCAAGCCCGAUCCCGUCUGAUCUGGGAAACUAAGCAGGGUUGGGCCUGGUUAGUACUUGGAUGGGAGACCACCUAGGAAGACCAGGUGCUGUAGGUG
rnacentral:rRNA from 1 species